AACGUACCCCAAACUGAGGGAUAACUGCUCGAAAGAGUAGCUAAUACCGCAUGUGCUCUUCGGAGUAAAGCUACGGCGGUUUGGGAACGGCCUGCGCAUGAUUAGUUUGUUGGUGAGGUAAUGGCUCACCAAGACUACGAUCAUUAGCUGGUCUGAGAGGAUGAUCAGCCAGACUGGGACUGAGACACGGCCCAGACUCCUACGGGAGGCAGCAGUAGGGAAUUUUCCACAAUGGGCGAAAGCCUGAUGGAGCAACGCCGCGUGCAGGAUGAAGGCCUUCGGGUUGUAAACUGCUUUUAUAUGUGAAGAAUAUGACGGUAGCAUAUGAAUAAGGAUCGGCUAACUCCGUGCCAGCAGCCGCGGUCAUACGGAGGAUCCAAGCGUUAUCCGGAAUUACUGGGCGUAAAGAGUUGCGUAGGUGGCAUAGUAAGCAGAUAGUGAAAGCGUGUGGCUCAACCAUACUCACAUUAUCUGAACUGCUAAGCUAGAGAACGAGAGAGGUAGAUGGAAUUCCCUGUGUAGGAGUGAAAUCCGUAGAUAUAGGGAGGAACACCGAUGGCGUAGGCAGUCUACUGGCUCGUUUCUGACACUAAGGCACGAAAGCGUGGGUAGCAAACGGGAUUAGAUACCCCGGUAGUCCACGCCGUAAACUAUGGAUGCUAGCUGUAAGAAGUAUCGACCCUUCUUGUAGCGAAGCUAACGCGUUAAGCAUCCCGCCUGUGGAGUACGAGCGCAAGCUUAAAACAUAAAGGAAUUGACGGGGACCCGCACAAGCGGUGGAGCGUGUUGUUUAAUUCGAUGGUAAGC
rnacentral:rRNA from 1 species